ACGGGAGGCAGCAGUGAGGAAUAUUGGUCAAUGGGCGGAAGCCUGAACCAGCCAAGUCGCGUGAAGGAUGAAGGUAUUAUGUAUUGUAAACUUCUUUAGUCGCAGGGAAAUAAGGGGAUCGUGAUCCCUGAUGCUAGUAUGCGAAGAAUAAGGAUCAGCUAACUCCGUGCCAGCAGCCGCGGUAAUACGGAGGAUCCGAGCGUUAUCCGGAUUUAUUGGGUUUAAAGGGAGCGUAGGCGGUAUUUUAAGCGUGUUGUGAAAUGUAGACGCUCAACGUCUGAAUUGCAGCGCGAACUGGAGUACUUGAGUGCGCAGGAAGUUGGCGGAAUUCGUCGUGUAGCGGUGAAAUGCUUAGAUAUGACGAAGAACUCCGAUUGCGAAGGCAGCUGACUGUAGCGUGACUGACGCUGAAGCUCGAAAGUGCGGGUAUCGAACAGGAUUAGAUACCCUGGUA
rnacentral:rRNA from 1 species